CGUAGCAGCGGGCGGCAGCCGCCGAGGCAGCAAUGUCAGGAGGGCACAGCUGGAGGAGGCGGCCGCCAAAGCCACUACCCCACCCCCACCUGACAGAACCAGAGCUGUUAGAGCAGGGACGCGCGAAAGGCGGGAGUACGGGCGGCGCUGGAGAACCUCCGCGGCGGAGGGGCCUGGGGGUGGGACCGCGCCCGCGAGCCCGCCCUGACCGGGGUGCGUUCUACUGGCAGUUGCUGAGUUCGGAAGAUUAACUCUGAAUGUGGAGAGAUUAUUUUCUUGCUCGUAAACCUGGUUUACAUAUUUUCAUUCUUAAUGCUCAGUAAUCUUAAGGAAAGUCACCUGAAAGAAUACUUUUUCACCAAGUACUCUUCUGCGCCUGUUUGAAGGUGUCUGUGUGCUUGUGAAGCGCUCCCUUGUUAGUUCCUUCUGUGAGACUCGGGGGAGACUGAAGAGGGAAAUCACCUGCGGGGAAUGAACAGGAAAGCAAUAGGAAGAUUUGGAAAAGAGGCACUGGCUACUGGAGGAAGGGAGAAAUCACCGAGAGAGCGAAAGAUGUAACAGCCAAUAUUCUGGCAAAUGAGAAAAGUAACUGUGAAAUUUUCUUCAAAGAGAGAGACUGGCCUCUUCUUUUCCCUUUCUUCCCUCCUACUACCUGGGAAACAGGCUCUUGUUCUGUCACCCAUACUUGGAGUGCAGUGGUACAAUGAUAGCUCACUGCAGCCUCAAACUCCUGGUCUCAAGCAAUCCUCUCACCUCAGCCUCCCAGAAAAAAAAGGCCUUAUGAAGACAUUGCAAAAGGACAACUAUCUGCAAACCAGGAAGACAGACCUCACCAGAAAUCAACCCUGCUGGUGGUACCUUGAUCUUAGACUUCCAGCCUCCAGAAGUAUGAGAAAAUAAAUAUCUGUAAUUUAGAUGCAGUGACUCAUGCCUAUAAUCCCAGUACUUUGGAAGGUCAAGGCACAAGGAUCCAUUGAGGCCAGGAGUCCAAGACCAGCCUGCACAAUGUAGCAAGACUCCUUCUCUACAAAAAAAUAAAUAAAAAUUAGCCAGGCAUGGUGGUGCACUCCUGUAGUCCCAGCUACUCAAGAGGCUGAUGUAGAGAAUCGCAUUAUCCCAGAGGUCAAGGCUGCAGUGAGCCGUGAUCAUGCCUCUGCACUCCAGCCUGGACGAUAGAGCAAGACUUUAUCUCAAAAAACAAAAAUUUAAAAAGAUAUCAGGUAGCUCAUAGAAUUGUUGAGAGGGCUGUAAAACCAGGCUUGAA
rnacentral:lncRNA from 1 species